GACGAACGCUGGCGGCGUGCCUAACACAUGCAAGUCGAGCGGAGACAUGUUGCGGAAGUUUUCGGAUGGAAGCGAUAUGUUUUAGCGGCGGACGGGUGAGUAACGCGUGAGCAACCUUUCCUUCACAGGGGAAUAACGCACCGAAAGGUGCACUAAUACCGCAUAAGCCCACGACCCGGCAUCGGGUUGAGGGAAAAGGAGCAAUCCGCUUUGAGAUGGCCUCGCGUCCGAUUAGCUAGUUGGUGAGGUAACGGCCCACCAAGGCGACGAUCGGUAGCCGGACUGAGAGGUUGAACGGCCACAUUGGGACUGAGACACGGCCCAG
rnacentral:rRNA from 1 species